rnacentral:misc_RNA from 1 species
ACAAAUCCUGAAUUGUUGUGCAUGGGUGUAUGAGUAUCACUUGAACAAGGAAUGUGUUUAUUCAUUCAUUUCUGUUCACUUUGAUCAUCAUGCACUCUUCAUCACAACAAUACACACGUUCCGUGUGCAUUCAUUUGUGCAUGAUAACACAUUUCUACGAAUCAUCUGAUUGUCACAUAAUCUAAUUCAUAAA